rnacentral:rRNA from 1 species
AGUGAACGCUGGCGGUAGGCCUAACACAUGCAAGUCGAACGGCAGCACAGUAAGAGCUUGCUCUUACGGGUGGCGAGUGGCGGACGGGUGAGGAAUACAUCGGAAUCUACUUUUUCGUGGGGGAUAACGUAGGGAAACUUACGCUAAUACCGCAUACGACCUACGGGUGAAAGCAGGGGAUCUUCGGACCUUGCGCGAUUGAAUGAGCCGAUGUCGGAUUAGCUAGUUGGCGGGAUAAAGGCCCACCAAGGCGACGAUCCGUAGCUGGUCUGAGAGGAUGAUCAACCACACUGGAACUGAGACACGGUCCAGACUCCUACGGGAGGCAGCAGUGGGGAAUAUUGGACAAUGGGCGCAAGCCUGAUCCAGCCAUACCGCGUGGGUGAAGAAGGCCUUCGGGUUGUAAAGCCCUUUUGUUGGGAAAGAAAAGCAGCAGGUUAAAACCCCGCUGUUCUGACGGUACCCAAAGAAUAAGCACCGGCUAACUUCGUG